UGCAGUCGAGCGAACAGACGAGGAGCUUGCUCCUUUGACGUUAGCGGCGGACGGGUGAGUAACACGUAGGUAACCUACCUAUAAGACUGGGAUAACUUCGGGAAACCGGAGCUAAUACCGGAUAAUAUUUCGAACCGCAUGGUUCGAUAGUGAAAGAUGGCUUUGCUAUCACUUAUAGAUGGACCUGCGCCGUAUUAGCUAGUUGGUAAGGUAACGGCUUACCAAGGCAACGAUACGUAGCCGACCUGAGAGGGUGAUCGGCCACACUGGAACUGAGACACGGUCCAGACUCCUACGGGAGGCAGCAGUAGGGAAUCUUCCGCAAUGGGCGAAAGCCUGACGGAGCAACGCCGCGUGAGUGAUGAAGGUCUUCGGAUCGUAAAACUCUGUUAUUAGGGAAGAACAAACGUGUAAGUAACUGUGCACGUCUUGACGGUACCUAAUCAGAAAGCCACGGCUAACUACGUGCCAGCAGCCGGCGGGUAAUAAA
rnacentral:rRNA from 1 species